rnacentral:rRNA from 1 species
AUGGAACCAGCAACGGCAGCAGCAGCUUGUCCUCGGUUGCUCGUGUCCCUCCUCCUCGUCCUAUCAUGCUUCGUGUCACCCGAGCUCGUCCAUGGCCAGCCCGACGCCCUCGGCUUCAUCAGCAUCGACUGCGGGAUCGCCGACGGCCCGAGCUACCCCGACGAGUCCACGCGCGGCCUGAGGUACGUCUCGGACGCCGGCUUCGUCGACGCCGGCGCGGGGGCCAACGCCGGCAUCAACCCGCCGUACAGCGACCGGGAACUGGCGGCGCGGUACCUCACCGUACGCCACUUCUCCGGUGGUGCUGCCCGCAGCUGCUACACGCUCCGGGGGCUCUCGCCGGGAGGCAGGUACCUCGUCAGGUCCAGCUUCUACUACGGCAACUACGACGCGCUCAACAGGCUCCCGUCCUUCCACCUCUACCUCGGGGUCAACCGCUGGGCCGCCGUCAACGUCACCGCGCCCGAUGACAUAUUGAUCUUCGAGGCCGUCGUCGUGUCCCCGGCUGAUUUCUUUCAGGUGUGCCUGGUGGACAUAGGGCAGGGUACGCCCUUCAUCUCCGGGCUUGACCUGAGGCCGCUCAGGGCGGCCAUGUACCCGGAGGCCACCGUGAACCAGUCGCUGCUCCUGCUCAAUCUUCGCCGGCCGGCGGCCAGAUUCGCCUUGAACCGCUACCAUUUCUGGCGGCCGGCUAGUUUCUAUAAGAUAUACAGGUACCCAUUUGAUUCCUACGACCGCAUCUGGCAGUCUUACGGCGAUAUCGCCGCGUGGACCAACAUAACGACGACGGCCAACGUUGACGUCUCCAAGGCCAGCAGCUUCGACGCGCCGCCUGUGGUGCUGCGGAGCGCCGCCACUCCGGUGAACGGAACCCGGCUCGAAUUCUCAUGGAGCCCGGACACCUCCCAGAACAAUGACAGCAGCAGCGCAGCCUACCUCCUGCUGCUCUACUUCGCGGAGCUGCAGCAGCUGCCGGGCAACGUGCUGAGGCGGUUCGACAUCCUCGUUGACGGCGCCUCAUGGAACGGCAGCCGGAGUUACACCCCGAAGUACCUCUCCGCAGAGGUUGUGGAACAGGUGGUGGUGCAGGGGUCAGGCCAGCACACCGUCUCGCUUGUCGCCACGCCGGAUGCCAUACUCCCGCCCAUCCUGAACGCGUUCGAGAUAUACUCACUGCGGCAGAUGACUGAGCUUGCGACGAACAAUGGAGACGCCAAGGCCAUGAUGGGAAUUCGCACGACGUACAUGCUGAAGAAAAACUGGAUGGGUGAUCCUUGUGCGCCGAAAGCAUUUGCCUGGAAUGGCCUGAACUGCAGUUAUUCUUCAUCUGGUCCUGCAUGGAUAACAGCUCUAAUAUUGUCAUCUAGUUUGUUGACCGGUGCAGUUGAUCCUUCUUUCGGUGAUCUAAAAUCCCUUCAAUACCUGGACUUGUCCAAUAACAGCCUGUCUGGUCCAAUACCUGAUUUUCUGGCACAAAUGCCAUCACUUAAAUUCCUUGAUUUGUCAAGCAACAAACUCAGUGGAUCAAUUCCUGCAGCUCUAGUACGGAAGCGUCAAAAUGGAUCCCUUGUAUUAAUGAUUGGUAACAAUGCAAAUAUCUGUGACAAUGGUGCUUCUACAUGUGCUCCAAACGACAAGCAAAAGAACAGAACACUCAUCAUUGCGAUAGCCGUUCCAAUAGCUGUAGCUACUCUACUGUUUGUCGCAGCAAUUAUUAUCCUUCAUAGAAGGAGAAUUAAACAAGAUACAUGGAUGGCAAAUAGCGCAAGGCUUAAUAGCCCCAGGGACAGGGAGAGGUCGAACUUGUUUGAGAACAGACAGUUCAGCUACAAAGAGCUGAAGCUCAUCACAGCUAACUUCAAGGAAGAAAUAGGGCGAGGAGGAUUUGGUGCUGUGUUUCUAGGCUAUUUGGAGAAUGGAAGUCCAGUUGCUGUGAAGAUCCGUUCAAAAACAUCAUCUCAAGGGGACAGGGAGUUUCUAUCUGAGGCUCAACACUUGAGUCGAGUUCACCACAGGAACCUGGUUUCCUUGAUUGGUUAUUGCAAGGACAAGAAACAACUGGCCCUUGUCUAUGAAUAUAUGCAUGGUGGAGACCUAGAGGAUCGUCUAAGAGGAGAGGUCUCUGUCGCUACGCCCCUCAGUUGGCAUCGACGUCUCAAGAUUGCUCUCGACUCUGCCCAUGGAUUGGAAUAUCUACAUAAGUCCUGCCAACCGCCACUGAUCCAUAGGGAUGUGAAGACAAAGAACAUCCUGCUAUCUGCUGACCUAGAUGCAAAGAUAUCCGACUUUGGCCUGACCAAGGUGUUCGCAGAUGAGUUCAUGACCCAUAUUACUACCCAACCAGCAGGCACCCUGGGGUAUCUUGACCCUGAGUACUAUAAUACAUCCCGGCUCAGUGAGAAGAGUGACGUGUAUAGCUUUGGAGUUGUACUACUGGAGCUUAUAACCGGUCAGUCGCCGGCGGUCGCCAUUACUGACACUGAGAGCAUCCAUAUAGCACAGUGGGUGCGCCAGAAGCUCUCCGAGGGCAACAUUGAGAGCAUUGCUGACUCAAAGAUGGGAAGGGAGUACGAUGUCAACUCGGUCUGGAAGGUUACAGAGCUGGCACUGCAGUGCAAAGAACAACCAUCACGGGAACGACCAACAAUGACAGAUGUUGUGGCUGAGCUCAAGGAAUGCUUGGAGCUGGAGGUGUCUCGUGGAAUGGGUAAUUACAACUCAGUCACUAGCGGCACAAGUAAUCUCAGUGCAACAAGCACUGACUCGCACAACGAUGCUCAAGCAAAUGAUCUGAAACAGCAAAGUGUGCUUGAGUUGGGGCAGGUUGGCGAUGCAUCGCCAACUCACAUAGGUCCGGCACCAAGAUGA